UAACGGCGAGUGAAGCGGCAACAGCUCAAAUUUGAAAUCUGGCGGCCUCUGGGCCGUCCGAGUUGUAAUUUGAAGAGGAUGCUUUUGGCGAGGCGCCUUCCGAGUGCCCUGGAACGGGACGCCACAGAGGGUGAGAGCCCCGUAUGGUUGGACGCCGAGCCUCUGUAAAGCUCCUUCGACGAGUCGAGUAGUUUGGGAAUGCUGCUCAAAAUGGGAGGUAAACCCCUUCUAAAGCUAAAUACUGGCCAGAGACCGAUAGCGCACAAGUAGAGUGAUCGAAAGAUGAAAAGCACUUUGAAAAGAGAGUUAAAUAGCACGUGAAAUUGUUGAAAGGGAAGCGCUUGCGACCAGACUUGUGCCCGUCGAAUCAGCCGCCGCUCGCCGGCGGCGCACUUCGGCGGGCUCAGGCCAGCAUCAGUUCGCUGCAGGGGGAGAAAGGCGGCGGGAAUGUGGCUCUUCGGAGUGUUAUAGCCCGCCGCGCAAUACCCCUCGGCGGACUGAGGACCGCGCAUCUGCAAGGAUGCU
rnacentral:rRNA from 1 species